GUCCCAAAUUCAUCUUACAGUAUAAAUAAGCAUUAUUCAUUUGUUUAGAUAUAUUAAUCAGACUUAUCCUUCCACUUAACCUUAGUCGGACUGUCACACCCCAUUUAAAUACCCCUCCUUAGUGGGUACAUGUGUCAACCGUCUGGUUUUCCUCUGGUGAGUGGAAGACAAACUCUGCCAAACUUUUAAUUCCCUUCCUUCGUGAUCCAUGUAGCAGCAGAGCAGUGAACCCAGAAAGUGGAGGUCAGGUGUCAUGCUGGGAGUUGGCCGACCGUUCGGAAUGGAGGCAGUAUUUAAGAUCACACUUGAAGACUCCUGGUGGUCUCCUCUUUCACUUGAACCGUCCGGUUUCGAGUUUGCACCUGACCUUGGGAAACUUAGAAGAAUAGUACCUACCAACCUACUUUCAAAGUCUUAGCUGGAAUUAGAGUUAUUCUUUUCGUGGCCAUGAUCAUCCUUUUGGAUGUGAGCAGAGGAUACCUUGGAAGCUACCCUGAAAGACACUCUGGAGAAUGUCGUGCAGGCCGAGUUCCUCGUGGAGGCCAUGCCUGAGAGUUUUGCAGGACCGUCCGGUCCUUAGGAUAGUUUCUUUCAUUCUAGUUCUUUUGAUGAUUGGUCGUUAGGUCAAUGA